CCCAAAUUCCAGUUAAGUGGGAAACGAUGUGGGAAGGCUUAGACAGACUAGGAUGUUGGCUUAGAAGCAGCCAUCAUUUAAAGAAAGCGUAAUAGCUCACUAGUCGAGUCGGCCUGCGCGGAAGAUGUAACGGGGCUAAAACUGGAUACCGAAGCUGCGGAUGUGCUUAGGCACGUGGUAGGGGAGCGUUCUGUAAGCCUGUGAAGGUGUGUCGAGAGGCAUGCUGGAGGUAUCAGAAGUGCGAAUGCUGACAUGAGUAACGAUAAAACGGGUGAAAAACCCGUUCGCCGGAAGACCAAGGGUUCCUGCGCAACGCUAAUCGGCGCAGGGUGAGUCGGGCCCUAAGGCGAGGCCGAAAGGCGUAGUCGAUGGAUGAUCGGUUAAUAUUCCGAUACCACGCAUUACUGCGAUGGGGUGACGGAGAAGGCUAGGCAUACCGGGUGUUGGAUGUCCCGGGGAAAGGUUGUAGGCAGAUCUUCCAGGUAAAUCCGGAGGGUUAAUGCCGAGAGCCGAGACCA
rnacentral:rRNA from 1 species